CGAUUUGCGAGCUUAAGGUUUUGGAGAAUUAACAAAGGCGACCUAUUUGCUCAUGCCAGACCCGUCUUCAUUGCGUUUGUAUGAAUUCAUUAUAAUUUACAUUAAAUGUCCACUGAGACGUUACACGUAUUUCUGUUAUUGUUCCAGCAGUCCCAAGGACGGAAACUGCCUAUAUAAAUGUAGUCGGAAUAAUAAAAAUAAACAGUUUCGAUUCGAAGGCACACUAGUGAUCCCAAAGGACCGUUCUUGUUGGUUUCUAAAAGUAACUCGAGUACCUAUUAUUAAAAUAAACAUGCUUGCUAAGCUGGUAUUCGUCUUUGCUUUGUUGGCCGUCACCUUGGCCGCUCCCCAGUACUACUACCCUGGCUCUGGCUACGGGUAUAGCGGGUACUCGUCGGGGUACCCCGGUUACUACGGGUACUCCGGCUACUCCCCACUCUCCUACAGCAGCGGCUACGGCGCCUACCCAGGAUCCGGCUACAACUAUGGA